AUUCCAGCUCCAAUAGCGUAUACUAAAGUUGUUGCAGUUAAAAAGCUCGUAGUUGAAUUUCUGGUCUUGGACAGCGGUCUGCCUCAAACGAGGUACGCACCAUCUAUCCGAGUCCAUCCUCGGGGAAAACAUGUCUGUGAUUCAGUUCAUGGGCAUGGGAUCCUCGUCAUUUACUGUGAGCAAAAUAGAGUGUUCAAAGCAGGCUUAUGCCGUUGAAUAUUUUAGCAUGGAAUAAUAAGAUAAGACCUUGGUCUAUUUUGUUGGUUUGUACUCCAAGGUAAUGAUUAAUAGGGACAGUUGGGGGUAUUCGUAUCCAAUAGUCAGAGGUGAAAUUCUUGGAUUUAUUGAAGACGAACUACUGCGAAAGCAUUUACCAAGGAUGUUUUCAUUA
rnacentral:rRNA from 1 species